rnacentral:tRNA from 1 species
UCCUCGGUAGCUCAGCGGCAGAGCAAUCGGCUGUUAACCGAUCGGUCGUAGGUUCGAAUCCUACCCGGGGAG